rnacentral:rRNA from 1 species
AGUGAACGCUGGCGGUAGGCCUAACACAUGCAAGUCGAACGGCGGCACAGUAAGAGCUUGCUCUUACGGGUGGCGAGUGGCGGACGGGUGAGGAAUACAUCGGAAUCUACUUUUUCGUGGGGGAUAACGUAGGGAAACUUACGCUAAUACCGCAUACGACCUACGGGUGAAAGCAGGGGAUCUUCGGACCUUGCGCGAUUGAAUGAGCCGAUGUCGGAUUAGCUAGUUGGCGGGGUAAAGGCCCACCAAGGCGACGAUCCGUAGCUGGUCUGAGAGGAUGAUCAGCCACACUGGAACUGAGACACGGUCCAGACUCCUACGGGAGGCAGCAGUGGGGAAUAUUGGACAAUGGGCGCAAGCCUGAUCCAGCCAUACCGCGUGGGUGAAGAAGGCCUUCGGGUUGUAAAGCCCUUUUGUUGGGAAAGAAAAGCAGCAGGUUAAGACCCCGCUGUUCUGACGGUACCCAAAGAAUAAGCACCGGCUAACUUCGU